rnacentral:rRNA from 1 species
ACGAACGCUGGCGGCGUGCUUAACACAUGCAAGUCGAACGGAAAGGCCCUGCUUGUGUGGGGUGCUCGAGUGGCGAACGGGUGAGUAACACGUGAGUAACCUGCCCUUGACUUUGGGAUAACUUCAGGAAACUGGGGCUAAUACCGGAUAGGAGCUCCUGCUGCAUGGUGGGGGUUGGAAAGUUUCGGCGGUUGGGGAUGGACUCGCGGCUUAUCAGCUUGUUGGUGGGGUAGUGGCUUACCAAGGCUUUGACGGGUAGCCGGCCUGAGAGGGUGACCGGCCACAUUGGGACUGAGAUACGGCCCAGACUCCUACGGGAGGCAGCAGUGGGGAAUAUUGCACAAUGGGCGGAAGCCUGAUGCAGCAACGCCGCGUGCGGGAUGACGGCCUUCGGGUUGUAAACCGCUUUCGCCUGUGACGAAGCGUGAGUGACGGUAAUGGGUAAAGAAGCACCGGCUAACUACGUG